rnacentral:rRNA from 1 species
GACGAACGCUGGCGGCGUGCCUAAUACAUGCAAGUCGAGCGCAGGAAACUGACGGAACUCUUCGGAGGGAAGGCAGUGGAAUGAGCGGCGGACGGGUGAGUAACACGUAAGGAACCUGCCUCAAGGAUUGGGAUAACUCCGAGAAAUCGGAGCUAAUACCGGAUAGUUCAACGGACCGCAGGGUCCGUUGAUGAAAGGCGCUCCGGCGUCACCUUGAGAUGGCCUUGCGGUGCAUUAGCUAGUUGGUGGGGUAACGGCUCACCAAGGCGACGAUGCAUAGCCGACCUGAGAGGGUGAUCGGCCACACUGGGACUGAGACACGGCCCAGACUCCUACGGGAGGCAGCAGUAGGGAAUCUUCCACAAUGGACGAAAGUCUGAUGGAGCAACGCCGCGUGAGUGAUGAAGGUUUUCGGAUCGUAAAACUCUGUUGUAAGGGAAGAACACGUACGAGGGGAAAUGCUCGUACCUUGACGGUACCUUACGAGAAAGCCACGGCUAACUACGUGCCAGCCGCCGCAGUAA